rnacentral:rRNA from 1 species
UACAGAGGGUGCAAGCGUUUGUUCGGAAUUACUGGGCGUAAAGGGCGCGUAGGCGGUUUGGUAAGUCAGAUGUGAAAAGCCCGGGGCUCAACCCCGGAAGUGCAUUUGAAACUACCAGACUAGAGUGCAGUAGAGAAUGGCGGAAUUCCCAGUGGAGAGGUGAAAUUCGUAGAUAUUGGGAGGAACACCGGUGGCGAAGGCGGCCAUUUGGGCUGUAACUGACGCUGAGGCGCGAAAGCGUGGGUAGCAAACAGG